UACGUAGGGGGCAAGCGUUGUCCGGAAUCAUUGGGCGUAAAGCGCGUGUAGGCGGCCCGGUAAGUCCGCUGUGAAAGUCGGGGGCUCAACCCUCGAAUGCCGGUGGAUACUGUCGGGCUCGAGUACGGAAGAGGCGAGUGGAAUUCCUGGUGUAGCGGUGAAAUGCGCAGAUAUCAGGAGGAACACCUAUUGCGAAGGCAGCUCGCUGGGACGUCACUGACGCUGAGACGCGAAAGCGUGGGGAGCAAACAGG
rnacentral:rRNA from 1 species